rnacentral:rRNA from 1 species
AGAGUUUGAUCCUGGCUCAGGACGAACGCUGGCGGCGUGCCUAAUACAUGCAAGUCGAGCGAGCUGAACCAGCAGAUUCACUUCGGUGAUGACGCUGGGAACGCGAGCGGCGGAUGGGUGAGUAACACGUGGGUAACCUGCCCUAAAGUCUGGGAUACCACUUGGAAACAGGUGCUAAUACCGGAUAACAACAAUAGCUGCAUGGCUAUUGCUUAAAAGGCGGCGAAAGCUGUCGCUAAAGGAUGGACCCGCGGUGCAUUAGCUAGUUGGUAAGGUAAUGGCUUACCAAGGCGACGAUGCAUAGCCGAGUUGAGAGACUGAUCGGCCACAUUGGGACUGAGACACGGCCCAAACUCCUACGGGAGGCAGCAGUAGGGAAUCUUCCACAAUGGGCGAAAGCCUGAUGGAGCAACGCCGCGUGAGUGAAGAAGGUUUUCGGAUCGUAAAGCUCUGUUGUUGGUGAAGAAGGAUAGAGGUAGUAACUGGCCCCUAUUUGACGGUAAUCAACCAGAAAGUCACGGCUAACUACGUGCCAGCAGCCGCGGUAAUACGUAGGUGGCAAGCGUUGUCCGGAUUUAUUGGGCGUAAAGCGAGCGCAGGCGGAAAGAUAAGUCUGAUGUGAAAGCCCCCGGCUUAACCGAGGAAUUGCAUCGGAAACUGUGUUUCUUGAGUGCAGAAGAGGAGAGUGGAACUCCAUGUGUAGCGGUGGAAUGCGUAGAUAUAUGGAAGAACACCAGUGGCGAAGGCGGCUCUCUGGUCUGUAACUGACGCUGAGGCUCGAAAGCAUGGGUAGCGAACAGGAUUAGAUACCCUGGUAGUCCAUGCCGUAAACGAUGAGUGCUAAGUGUUGGGAGGUUUCCGCCUCUCAGUGCUGCAGCUAACGCAUUAAGCACUCCGCCUGGGGAGUACGACCGCAAGGUUGAAACUCAAAGGAAUUGACGGGGGCCCGCACAAGCGGUGGAGCAUGUGGUUUAAUUCGAAGCAACGCGAAGAACCUUACCAGGUCUUGACAUCUAGUGCCAUCCUAAGAGAUUAGGAGUUCCCUUCGGGGACACUAAGACAGGUGGUGCAUGGCUGUCGUCAGCUCGUGUCGUGAGAUGUUGGGUUAAGUCCCGCAACGAGCGCAACCCUUG